rnacentral:rRNA from 1 species
GAUGAACGCUGGCGGCGUGCCUAAUACAUGCAAGUCGAGCGAACGGACGAGAAGCUUGCUUCUCUGAUGUUAGCGGCGGACGAGUGAGUAACACGUGGAUAACCUACCUAUAAGACUGGGAUAACUUCGGGAAACCGGAGCUAAUACCGGAUGAUAUUUUGAACCGCAUGGUUCAAAAGUGAAAGACGGUCUUGCUGUCACUUAUAGAUGGAUCCGCGCUGCAUUAGCUAGUUGGUAAGGUAACGGCUUACCAAGGCAACGAUGCAUAGCCGACCUGAGAGGGUGAUCGGCCACACUGGAACUGAGACACGGUCCAGACUCCUACGGGAGGCAGCAGUAGGGAAUCUUCCGCAAUGGGCGAAAGCCUGACGGAGCAACGCCGCGUGAGUGAUGAAGGUCUUCGGAUCGUAAAACUCUGUUAUUAGGGAAGAACAUAUGUGUAAGUAACUGUGCACAUCUUGACGGUACCUAAUCAGAAAGCCACGGCUAACUACGUG